CCCCUUUGUGUGACUAAAUUUGGCAAGAAUAUGGAUCCGAGCCAGUCUUUCCACGUGUGCUCUCAGCUCCCAGCUGAGAAGGCCAAGGGUUCUCUUCCGGAUGCAGCCAUUUUUGAAAUUUAUUUUUUGCUGGAAAGAGGAACAUGACCAAGCUCUGAGAGUUUCGUUUCCUUUGAGGGGCGAGGGGUUGGCGCAGUGGGAAGGCCCUGAAAAUACUCAAGGAAACCUUGGAUCCUCCAUUGAAGAAGUUCUCUGGGAAAUUGCCUGACUGACAGGAACUACAUCCAGUGCCCAGAACACACACCUACGCAGGCACAGUGAGACAUGGAGCUGAACGAUUUUCCGAUGAAUGCCACCCAAGUAAAUAAACCACCUGGAGGGUCAAGAUUGAGCCUCCUUUACAUCAAGACAGGACUUUGGGGAUGUCCUUGUGAUUGCUCUGUACUGGUUCUCAUUUGAAACUGGGUACCUACUUUACUGGGUACUCAGUAUCUCUCAGAGGAGGGUGUUGGCCUAUGUAACAUUUGACCUUGAGGAUGCUUUCUUUUUAAACCUACUUCUGUCCAUCAAAACAGACUUAUUGACAGGGGUUAUCUAGACUAAUACUUACAUUUAUGCAAGACACAGCUUGUGUCUUACAUGUACAGCUAUGCUCAGUCUCAGAAUUAGCAAUUAUGGAACUAAUUCAGAAGGCAGACAGACAAUGGAAAUAGUUCAAGCUACAGAAUUGUCAUCUGGUUCAGCUAAGCACUUUUCUUUGGCAAAAAUAAAGCUAAUCUGCCUGAUCGGAAUUUGACUUAAAGGCCCCGCAAUCCUAUCCUGCCUGUGGCAGAUCUCAAGUCCACGCUCCUUAGGUUAAAAUGGCAGAAAGCAGGAGACAGAGAUAAAUUACUAUCUUAUGAAGUUAGACAGUGAUUUUUUUUACUGCCAUUUCAGAUAACUCUGCAGACUACCAAAUAUAUUCUGAAGCUUAAAUUAUCCAGAUAUUUGACCUUUACUGGUCUAAUUCUCUGGAUAAUUUUUGGAUUAUUUUACUUUGUAUUGUAGGAACAGCAAAUCUCUGGUGGCUGAGUCAGACAGACCUUGUAAAAUCUCUCUUGCAUUACUGCAAGUAGCCUCUUAGCUGGUCUCUGGCUGCUGCUCUUGCUGGGUUCCAGACAUGCCCAUAACAGUCCACACGUCAUAAGGCAGCCGAAGUCAUCCUUCAGUAUUUCCUAGUUGUGGUGGCUUCCAAGUUGCUACAGGAAUAGACUUCUGGCUUCCUCUCCCUCUACUCCUUGUUCACUGCUCUCCAACACCGCUGGUUCUCCUGCUGUUCCUCCAAUGUGUAAAGCAUGCCUGUGUGCGUGUGUGCACAUACACGCACAUGCACACACACAUGCACACACACACACUGCUUAGUCUUUUACUUGUUGUUGCCUCUGCCCAGAAGCCAGGCAGCACUCCCUCCUUCAUGGAUCUGCUCAGAUGACAAUUCCUCUCAGACCCUGUUGUCUAUCAGAUGGCCCACCCCACCUCACCCUGAUUCUGGGCACUACGUGUUCUUUCAUAGGCCUCAUCUUUCUUCACUGUCACUGCCUGACAUGUUUUUUAUACUUAUUUAUUUAUUACUUUCCUCUCCCUCUAGAACAUAAGUUCCUUAGGAGUAAAGACUUUUGUUGUAUCUCUACUGCCUACCACGGCCCUAGGUGCACAGAAAAUAAGCAUGAUGUCUGUCUGGGAAAAGUCCAACCAUUGUUGAUAUAAUGGGAAUGGUUUGCAACAUCGAUGUAACCUGGCAGCCAAGGAGAGUGGACUGGAAUGUGCACGUGUGUGAACUAUGAUGACUUCACUGUACUAGUUAGUGGGGGCGGUAGACACCACUGAGUGAGCAUGUGCACUGUGUGGCCAUAGCAUUCAAACUGAUCGAGGAAGUAGAGAAUGAAUCUGCAUCAAGUUUUUGCGUGAACAUUACUCCACAGCAACUACUGGGAUGGUUCAGAAGGCCGUGGCUGUGGGCAACUGGGGAUUGGCAGGUUCAUCAUGACAAUGUGCCUGCUCAUGCACCACGUCUCGUGCAGAGAUUUUUGGUAAAACAUCAAAUCGCCCAGGUGACUCAGCCCCAUUAUAGCCCAGGUUUGGCACCUUGUGACAUCUGGCUUUUCCGAAAACUACAAUCACCUUUGAAACGGAAGAGAUUUCAGACCAUCAAUGAGAUUCAAAAAAAUACAAUGGGGCAGCUGAUGGUGAUUCAAAGGAUUUUGCAGAGUGUUUUGAACAGUGGAAGAGAUGCUGAGAGAAAUGUGUGAAGUCCCAAGGUGCCUACUUUGAAGCGGGCCGAGGUGUCAUUGUCCUACGUACAGUGUUUCUUGUAUCUU